UAUAGUUACCUUUUCGAAAAACAGAAACUGUCUUGAUGCUUUUUUGCAAGUUGGUAUGUGAAUUUUUCAUAGUUGCUUAUACUUUUAUCUUUAAGAAUCUUACUUUGCCUCCUUUCUGAACGUUUUGUUUUUUCAGCUAUCCGCUAAUGAACCCACAGAAACGGAUAAUGAAAUUGGAUCUUCUACUUGAAGAGUAAUGGGAAACAAGUGAUAUAACAUACCCGUUAAGGAAGCAUAUGCGGAGUUGAAAGCAGACAGCGAGUCUGUUCUCACAGUUUGUUAGCUAACUCCUUGUAUUGGGUAAAAUUAAAGUUUGCAUAUUGGAGGUGACUUGUCAUGACACGUGGAUUAGUCAAAUGGUCAAAGAAUUAUAAUUAGCCAAGAGGCACGAGCAACAACAGAUACGAGAGAAGGUGAUGAAAGAGGCACGGAUAGUUAUUCAAAUAGUUUGGCGCCCGUACCUAUUUAAGUCAUUUAAAGCUCAAACAUCAAGAAGAAUCAAGGAAAUGAAUCUGACAACGCAUGUGAGUCCAAAUUCAGUAUUUAACAUACAUUAAAUACUGAGUACGUUAGAGAAUUUGUAUUUAAUAUAAAUGAUUGAGUAACGUUUCUUUUAUUGUCA